rnacentral:lncRNA from 1 species
AAGGACAUCUUUCUAAUACUACAACAUGUGGUAAUUACACUCUUAUCUUAAGCAUUGGGCAAUGAGAAGCUCAAAUGACUUUCUCACGUUAUAAAUAACCCCCAUACCCCCUGCGCAAGCUACCACUACAAGCACCUCUCCCAGCCAUCGCCACCACCACCCCUCCUCCUCCUCCUCCUCCUCCUCCUCCUCAACUCACCCUCGGCUACCACCACCAAUGGAAUUACCAUCAUGGGCCACAUAUCUAGCAACCUUACCAGCAUCCAUCCUCCUCCUCCUCCUCCUCCUCAAAUCCCUCUUCUGCCGGCGCCGGCGCCUCUGUAAACUAAACCUGCCCCCCGGGCCAAAGCCAUGG